rnacentral:other from 1 species
AAAUCCCUGCGGUGUGCGCUAAGCGGUCACAUUUUAGCCAACACUAUUAUGUAAGGGAAUCCGAGCUGCUGCAGCUGUGUGUUAUGCCCCCGUAUAACGGUCUGAGGAAAACCCGUAAACUGCGGCUAAGGUUACCCACCUGCAAAGCAGGUUGAAAUACAGCCGUCAAACGGCACAGUGGGGAGAAC